AACGAACGCUGGCGGCGUGGAUAAGACAUGCAAGUCGAACGGAGACUUACUUAGCUUGCUUUGUAAGUUUGAGUGGCGAACGGGUGAGUAACACGUGAGCAACCUGCCCGGAAGAGGGGGAUAGCUCGAGGAAACUCGAAUUAAUACCGCAUGUGAUCGCACCUAGCAUUGGGUGUAGAUUAAAGGUGCCUUCGGGUGCCACUUCUGGAUGGGCUCGCGGCCUAUCAGCUUGUUGGUGGGGUAACGGCCCACCAAGGCGACGACGGGUAACUGGUCUGAGAGGAUGAUCAGUCACACUGGAACUGAGACACGGUCCAGACACCUACGGGUGGCAGCAGUCGAGAAUCAUUCGCAAUGGGGGCAACCCUGACGGUGCGACGCCGCGUGGAGGAUGACGGUCUUCGGAUUGUAAACUCCUGUCAUCGAAGAGUAAGGCUUCACGGUAAAUAGCCGUGAAGAUUGAUAGUAUUCGAAGAGGAAGGGACGGCUAACUUCGUGCC
rnacentral:rRNA from 1 species